rnacentral:rRNA from 1 species
UGGGGAAUAUUGGACAAUGGGCGAAAGCCUGAUCCAGCAACGCCGCGUGAGGGAUGACGGCCUUCGGGUUGUAAACCUCUUUCAGUAGGGACGAAGCGCAAGUGACGGUACCUACAGAAGAAGCACCGGCCAACUACGUGCCAGCAGCCGCGGUAAUACGUAGGGUGCGAGCGUUGUCCGGAAUUAUUGGGCGUAAAGGGCUCGUAGGCGGUUUGUCGCGUCGGGAGUGAAAACCCAGGGCUUAACCCUGGGCUGGCUUCCGAUACGGGCAGACUAGAGGUAUGCAGGGGAGAACGGAAUUCCUGGUGUAGCGGUGAAAUGCGCAGAUAUCAGGAGGAACACCGGUGGCGAAGGCGGUUCUCUGGGCAUUACCUGACGCUGAGGAGCGAAAGUGUGGGGAGCGAACAGGAUUAGAUACCUGGUAGUCCACACCGUAAACGUUGGGCGCUAGGUGUGGGGUCCAUUCCACGGUAUCCGUGCCGCAGCUAACGCAUUAAGCGCCCCGCCUGGGGAGUACGGCCG